ensembl:ncRNA C06E4.19 ncRNA
CCACAAGCCAUCCCAACCAUUCUCAUCGCCCACUAAAGUUUUGAGGGUUUUUCGUUUUAAAUUGGCGGCUUGACUUUUCUCCCCCCACGCAUGCAUCUCAAUCCCACAAUCCGCUCCUGUUUUUACUACAAAUCCGGUAGAC